CUAAGGGUUCCAGAGUUUUAUUUAUACAGGACAUUUGUACCUCAUACAAGUAUGUUGAGAGAAGUUCAGAACAAGCUAUUAUGUUUGAAGAGGAGUUGUCAGCACGUCAUCAUUGAAUAAAGUCAGUUGUAUUAGAAGUGAAGCCUAAACAGAAAUGAGACAAUUAUCAAAUAAUUCAAAGACUACAUGGUUGUUAUCUGGACUAACAUUUGUAUGACCCAAAUGUGGUAUUUUUCAUAUGAAGACUUACAAGGCAGGCUGUGGCAACAUGUGUAUGCAUUUAACAUGUUUAAAGACUUGAAGAACUUGUACUGCCUUCUUAAGAUUUCAGUAGAAUUUGUUUAAGACAGUAAAUUCUGAGUAUGAAUUGAAGAAUUUUUGCUCAUUUAAAUGAAUUAUGAAAAUGUUUUGCAUCUUAAAUAUACAAAAACAACAUACCGGUAAA